rnacentral:rRNA from 1 species
UGGGGGAUAUUGCACAAUGGGCGAAAGCCUGAUGCAGCGACGCCGCGUGGGGGAUGAAGGCCUUCGGGUUGUAAACUUCUUUUGCUCUGAACAAGGCAUGCUAAUGGGUGUGUUGAGUGUAGGGGUUGAUUAGCGCCGGCUAACUACGUGCCAUCAGCCGCGGUAAUACGUAGGGCGCGAGCGUUGUCCGGAAUUAUUGGGCGUAAAGGGCUUGUAGGUGGCUGGUUGCGUCUGUCGUGAAAGCUCAUGGCUUAACUGUGGGUUUGCGGUGGGUACGGGCUGGCUUGAGUGCAGUAGGGGAGGCUGGAAUUCCUGGUGUAGCGGUGGAAUGCGCAGAUAUCAGGAGGAAUACCGGUGGCGAAGGCGGGUCUCUGGGCUGUUACUGACACUGAGGAGCGAAAGCAUGGGGAGCGAACAGG